rnacentral:lncRNA from 1 species
UUUAGAAUCAAUCGGAGUCGCAUUAGAAAGUUUUCAUAAUUUUACACAGUGUAUCGGUACACGUGAGGCUGUCACCGGUUACACGAUGACGGAACAAAAAUCUGCGAAGCCAAAGUCGAUGGCUGUACCGGUACGGGUCAAUUGCUGUACCGGUACACAGUGCAUUUUUCAGACUUAGCACUGUUUCGGGUUCCGCAGAGUUCCGAAGCACUUUCUAAUCAACGAAAUGUGGAUAAUAAUGAUUCUAAUGCCUAUAACUAAGUAUGAAUCACCAUAACAUAAAGUAAAGACUUUACCUGAGCAUCGU